rnacentral:rRNA from 1 species
CAGCAGCCGCGGUAAUACGUAGGGUGCAAGCGUUAAUCGGAAUUACUGGGCGUAAAGCGUGCGCAGGCGGUUUGUUAAGACAGACGUGAAAUCCCCGGGCUCAACCUGGGAACUGCAUUUGUGACUGGCAAGCUAGAGUGUGGCAGAGGGGGGUGGAAUUCCGCGUGUAGCAGUGAAAUGCGUAGAUAUGCGGAGGAACACCGAUGGCGAAGGCAGCCCCCUGGGCCAACACUGACGCUCAUGCACGAAAGCGUGGGGAGCAAACAGGAUUAGAUACCCCCGUAGUCCCUGUCUCUUAUAC